UUUAGCAAAGUUGCACCUGACUUUUUUUUCUCCACUCACCACCUCGGCUAUGACAUCCCCUUACCUUGCGCUCUCAAUUCCAUUGCGACCAUUCCACAUGCCCUGUGUUACUCAACAUACAUCUGGGUGCAACUUUCCUAAACUGUGUAUACAUUGGACUUGUUGACUGAUGCCAAGGCGGUGGUUGCUAAGAAGAAAGGAGCAUCUGUGAAACAGAAGAUUGCAGCCAAGGCAGCACUGGUUCACACCUGCCUUGUCUGUCGGAUGCAGACCCGAAGACAUUCAAGCAGUACUUUGAGAGCAAGCAUCCCAUGUCUCCAAUGGUCCCAGUACCGGUUGAUGUGCAGGCAUAAGUGACUCAAAUGGACCUAUAGCUGGGACACACGGUGACCACGAUUUGAAUGCUUACAGCUGACACGGAAUGACGUGACCCUGAGAAUGACUGGACAUGGGCUGGAUAUUUGUGACAACAACCUAAAAGGGGUGCAGACGCACACUAGCACCCCAUUUUAUGUUUAUUCCAUAGCCAAUCAUAUCUCUAGCUAACCCCUUAUUCCACACCACAAAGUUGUCAUUAAAACAUUGUUUGAUUGGUUGACAAGAUGAACUCUGCUCAUUGGUCAACCAUGCGUGGCGGCAGCUCAGGACUUCAGCUAAUGACAUCUUUUGGUGCCUCGGGCUCCGAGCCAGCUUCGCCUCUCAUGGGAGCGAGCACCACGAACAGGGCCGCUUGCAAAACUGCUUGCAUUUUGCCGCCAGCCGCUCUACUCCAAUUGAAGUCUGUAAACUUUGCCGCUUACCACGGCGUUAUCUUUUUGCGGUGUACUGUUUUUGCUACCUUCAGACUGAAUGCAGUGGUAAAUGUGUUGCUCACAAUUGACAGCCGCAACAUGGACCUGUUAAAUUGACAAGGGUGUUGAUAUAGUUGAGUUUAGGCAUGGCUUCCUUGUUUUGAGUCUGUUAAGUUUGUUUCUCAUUGACCUAGUAUUUUAUAUCAAAUUUAUUU